rnacentral:rRNA from 1 species
AGAGUUUGAUCAUGGCUCAGAUUGAACGCUGGCGGCAGGCUUAACACAUGCAAGUCGAGCGAGAAAGUACCUUCGGGUGCGAGUAAAGCGGCGGACGGGUGAGUAACGCGUAGGAAUCUACCUGGUAGUGGGGGACAACAUGUGGAAACGCAUGCUAAUACCGCAUACGCCCUACGGGGGAAAGCGGGGGACCUUCGGGCCUCGCGCUAUCAGAUGAGCCUGCGUUAGAUUAGCUAGUUGGUAGGGUAAAGGCCUACCAAGGCGACGAUCUAUAGCUGGUCUGAGAGGAUGAUCAGCCACACUGGAACUGAGACACGGUCCAGACUCCUACGGGAGGCAGCAGUGGGGAAUAUUGCGCAAUGGGGGAAACCCUGACGCAGCCAUGCCGCGUGUGUGAAGAAGGCCUUAGGGUUGUAAAGUACUUUCAG